AGACGUAUAGUUCAGUGGCAGAAUGUUAAAUUCCAAAUUUAAAAGUCGUGAGUUCGAUUCUUGCUACGUCUG
rnacentral:tRNA from 1 species